rnacentral:rRNA from 1 species
CCCUUAGAUGUUCUGGGCCGCACGCGUGCUACACUGAGUGGAUCAGCGGGUCAGGUUGCGCGAAAGUGUUUCCUAAUCUUUAAAUCCGCUCGUGAUGGGGAUUGACGGUUGCAAUUUUCCGUCAUGAACGAGGAAUACCUUGUAAGCGCGGGUCAUCAUCCCGCGCUGAAUACGUCCCUGCCCUUUGUACACACCGCCCGUCGCUCCUACCGAUUGAGUGGUCCGGUGAGGCUUUGGGAUCUGAGCGGAAAGAGCGUUCGCUGUUUCUGCCCGGAAAACUCAGUCGAACCUUAUCAUUUAGAGGAAGGAGAAGUCGUAACA